GCAGCUUGCUGCUUCGCUGACGAGUGGCGGACGGGUGAGUAAUGUCUGGGAAGCUGCCUGAUGGAGGGGGAUAACUACUGGAAACGGUAGCUAAUACCGCAUAAUGUCGCAAGACCAAAGAGGGGGACCUUCAGGCCUCUUGCCAUCGGAUGUGCCCAGAUGGGAUUAGCUUGUUGGUGGGGUAACGGCUCACCAAGGCGACGAUCCCUAGCUGGUCUGAGAGGAUGACCAGCCACACUGGAACUGAGACACGGUCCAGACUCCUACGGGAGGCAGCAGUGGGGAAUAUUGCACAAUGGGCGCAAGCCUGAUGCAGCCAUGCCGCGUGUAUGAAGAAGGCCUUCGGGUUGUAAAGUACUUUCAGCGGGGAGGAAGGGAGUAAAGUUAAUACCUUUGCUCAUUGACGUUACCCGCAGAAGAAGCACCGGCUAACUCCGUGCCAGCAGCCGCGGUAAUACGGAGGGUGCAAGCGUUAAUCGGAAUUACUGGGCGUAAAGCGCACGCAGGCGGUUUGUUAAGUCAGAUGUGAAAUCCCCGGGCUCAACCUGGGAACUGCAUCUGAUACUGGCAAGCUUGAGUCUCGUAGAGGGGGGUAGAAUUCCAGGUGUAGCGGUGAAAUGCGUAGAGAUCUGGAGGAAUACCGGUGGCGAAGGCGGCCCCCUGGACGAAGACUGACGCUCAGGUGCGAAAGCGUGGGGAGCAAGCAGGAUUAGAUACCCUGGUAGUCCACGCCGUAAACGAUGUCGACUUGGAGGUUGUGCCCUUGAGGCGUGGCUUCCGGAGCUAACGCGUUAAGUCGACCGCCUGGGGAGUACGGCCGCAAGGUUAAAACUCAAAUGAAUUGACGGGGGCCCGCACAAGCGGUGGAGCAUGUGGUUUAAUUCGAUGCAACGCGAAGAACCUUACCUGGUCUUGACAUCCACGGAAGUUUUCAGAGAUGAGAAUGUGCCUUCGGGAACCGUGAGACAGGUGCUGCAUGGCUGUCGUCAGCUCGUGUUGUGAAAUGUUGGGUUAAGUCCCGCAACGAGCGCAACCCUUAUCCUUUGUUGCCAGCGGUCCGGCCGGGAACUCAAAGGAGACUGCCAGUGAUAAACUGGAGGAAGGUGGGGAUGACGUCAAGUCAUCAUGGCCCUUACGACCAGGGCUACACACGUGCUACAAUGGCGCAUACAAAGAGAAGCGACCUCGCGAGAGCAAGCGGACCUCAUAAAGUGCGUCGUAGUCCGGAUUGGAGUCUGCAACUCGACUCCAUGAAGUCGGAAUCGCUAGUAAUCGUGGAUCAGAAUGCCACGGUGAAUACGUUCCCGGGCCUUGUACACACCGCCCGUCACACCAUGGGAGUGGAUUGCAAAAGAAGUAGGUAGCUUAACCUUCGGGAGGGCGCUUACCACUUUGUGAUUCAUGACUGGGGUGAAGUUGUAACAAGGUA
rnacentral:rRNA from 1 species